AUCCUGGCUCAGAGCGAACGUUAGCGGCAGGCUUAACACAUGCAAGUCGAGCGAGAAAGGGGCUUCGGCUCCGAGUAAAAGCGGCGGACGGGUGCGUAACACGUGGAUGACCUACCCCUUGGUUCGGGACAACAGCGGGAAACUGCUGCUAAUACCGGAUGUGUCGUAGCAAUACGAGAAAGGCCCGCAAGGGGUCGCCAGAGGACGGGUCCGCGUCCCAUCAGCUAGUUGGUGAGGUAAUGGCUCACCAAGGCGAAGACGGGUAGCUGGUCUGAGAGGAUGAUCAGCCACACUGGAACUGAGACACGGUCCAGACUCCUACGGGAGGCAGCAGUGGGGAAUAUUGCGCAAUGGGCGAAAGCCUGACGCAGCCACGCCGCGUGAGCGAUGAAGGUCUUCGGAUCGUAAAGCUCUGUGGGGGGAGAAGAAGAAAGUCGGUGAAGAGCCGGCCCUGACGGUAUCCCCUUAGCAAGCACCGGCUAACUCCGUGCCAGCAGCCGCGGUAAUACGGAGGGUGACG
rnacentral:rRNA from 1 species